AACAUCCUAAGCUCAGCGGUAACAGGUGGAGCUUGCUUCCCGCUGACGAGCGGCGGACGGGUGAGUAAUGCAUAGGAAUCUGCCCGAUAGUGGGGGAUAACCUGGGGAAACUCAGGCUAAUACCGCAUACGUCCUACGGGAGAAAGGGGGCUUUGGCUCCCGCUAUUGGAUGAGCCUAUGUCGGAUUAGCUGGUUGGUGAGGUAAUGGCUCACCAAGGCAACGAUCCGUAGCUGGUUUGAGAGGAUGAUCAGCCACAUCGGGACUGAGACACGGCCCGAACUCCUACGGGAGGCAGCAGUGGGGAAUAUUGGACAAUGGGCGCAAGCCUGAUCCAGCCAUGCCGCGUGUGUGAAGAAGGCCUUCGGGUUGUAAAGCACUUUCAGCGAGGAAGAACGCCUGUCGGUUAAUACCCGGCAGGAAAGACAUCACUCGCAGAAGAAGCACCGGCUAACUCCGUGCCAGCAGCCGCGGUAAUACGGAGGGUGCAAGCGUUAAUCGGAAUUACUGGGCGUAAAGCGCGCGUAGGUGGCUUGAUAAGCCGGUUGUGAAAGCCCCGGGCUCAACCUGGGAACGGCAUCCGGAACUGUCAGGCUAGAGUGCAGGAGAGGAAGGUAGAAUUCCCGGUGUAGCGGUGAAAUGCGUAGAGAUCGGGAGGAAUACCAGUGGCGAAGGCGGCCUUCUGGACUGACACUGACACUGAGGUGCGAAAGCGUGGGUAGCAAACAGGAUUAGAUACCCUGGUAGUCCACGCCGUAAACGAUGUCGACCAGCCGUUGGGUGCCUAGCGCACUUUGUGGCGAAGUUAACGCGAUAAGUCGACCGCCUGGGGAGUACGGCCGCAAGGUUAAAACUCAAAUGAAUUGACGGGGGCCCGCACAAGCGGUGGAGCAUGUGGUUUAAUUCGAUGCAACGCGAAGAACCUUACCUACCCUUGACAUCUACAGAAGCCGGGAGAGAUCCUGGUGUGCCUUCGGAACUGUAAGACAGGUGCUGCAUGGCUGUCGUCAGCUCGUGUUGUGAAAUGUUGGGUUAAGUCCCGUAACGAGCGCAAG
rnacentral:rRNA from 1 species